AACUUUUGGCAACGGAUCUCUUGGCUCUCGCAUCGAUGAAGAACGCAGCGAAAUGCGAUAAGUAAUGUGAAUUGCAGAAUUCAGUGACUCAUCGAAUCUUUGAACGCACCUUGCGCUCCUUGGUAUUCCGAGGAGCAUGCCUGUUUGAGUGUCAUUUUAGUUUGUCAAACCAAUUUAACUUGUUGUUUCUUUCGAAUGAACAGUUAUGUUGGUUUGGAUUUAUGGGGGUUUUGCGAGCUUUGUCAAGAAGUUGGCUCUCCUUAAAUAUAUUAGCUAAAAGAAACCUUUGCUGACCAUUCCCAGUGUGAUAAAUUAUCUACACUAUUGAAAGGACAGCUGUGUCAUGAAGGUUUAGCUUCUAAUUGUCAUUUGUGACAUCUGUUAAAAUCUUGACCUCAAAUCAGGUAGGACUACCCGCUGAACUUAAGCAUAUCAAUAAGCGGAGGC
rnacentral:misc_RNA from 1 species